rnacentral:sRNA from 1 species
UCCGCACCCACCUGACGACUUCUCGCUACGUUUUGUUAG